rnacentral:rRNA from 1 species
AGAGUUUGAUCAUGGCUCAGGAUGAACGCUAGCGGCAGGCUUAACACAUGCAAGUCGAGGGGCAGCAUAAUGGUAGUAAUACUAUUGAUGGCGACCGGCGGACGGGUGCGUAACGCGUAUGCAACCUACCCUUUACAGGGGGAUAACACUGAGAAAUCGGUACUAAUACCCCAUAAUAUUCUGGGAGGCAUCUUUCGGAGUUGAAGGUUUUUGGUGGUAAAGGAUGGGCAUGCGUUGUAUUAGCUAGUUGGUAAGGUAACGG